rnacentral:pre_miRNA from 1 species
UGUUAAAUUUUUCAUCUAUUUGUAAUGUUAAAAAUUGGCGUGACUAAUGGAAUAACCAAAUCAUGACAUGUGACAUGCCACUAUACCUCAAACUGAUGUAUAUGAAUCAAUUUUUAAUAAUAGAAAAGGAUUAAAAUUUUAAUA